rnacentral:rRNA from 1 species
UACGUAGGGGGCGAGCGUUGUCCGGAAUGACUGGGCGUAAAGGGCGCGUAGGCGGCCGAAAAAGUCUGGAGUGAAAGUCCUGCUUUCAAGGUGGGAAUUGCUUUGGAAACUGGUUGGCUUGAGUGCGGAAGAGGUAAGUGGAAUUCCCAGUGUAGCGGUGAAAUGCGUAGAGAUUGGGAGGAACACCAGUGGCGAAGGCGACUUACUGGGCCGUAACUGACGCUGAGGCGCGAAAGCGUGGGGAGCGAACAGGAUUAGAUACCCUGGUAGUCCCUGAGCGGG